GGCAGCACGAUGUAGCAAUACAUUGGUGGCGACCGGCGCACGGGUGAGUAACGCGUAUGCAACCUACCUAUCAGAGGGGAAUAACCCGGCGAAAGUCGGACUAAUACCGCAUAAAACAGGGGUUCCACAUGGAAAUAUUUGUUAAAGAAUUAUCGCUGAUAGAUGGGCAUGCGUUCCAUUAGAUAGUUGGUGAGGUAACGGCUCACCAAGUCCACGAUGGAUAGGGGUUCUGAGAGGAAGGUCCCCCACACUGGUACUGAGACACGGACCAGACUCCUACGGGAGGCAGCAGUGAGGAAUAUUGGUCAAUGGGCGAGAGCCUGAACCAGCCAAGUCGCGUGAAGGAUGAAGGAUCUAUGGUUUGUAAACUUCUUUUAUAUGGGAAUAAAGUGAGGAACGUGUUCCUUUUUGUAUGUACCAUAUGAAUAAGCAUCGGCUAACUCCGUGCCAGCAGCCGCGGUAAUACGGAGGAUGCGAGCGUUAUCCGGAUUUAUUGGGUUUAAAGGGUGCGUAGGUGGUUAAUUAAGUCAGCGGUGAAAGUUUGUGGCUCAACCAUAAAAUUGCCGUUGAAACUGGUUGACUUGAGUAUAUUUGAGGUAGGCGGAAUGCGUGGUGUAGCGGUGAAAUGCAUAGAUAUCACGCAGAACUCCGAUUGCGAAGGCAGCUUACUAAACUAUAACUGACACUGAAGCACGAAAGCGUGGGGAUCAAACAGGAUUAGAUACCCUGGUAGUCCACGCAGUNAACGAUGAUUACUAGCU
rnacentral:rRNA from 1 species